rnacentral:rRNA from 1 species
GAUGAACGCUGGCGGCGUGCCUAAUACAUGCAAGUCGAACGCUUCACUUCGGUGAAGAGUGGCGAACGGGUGAGUAAUACAUAAGUAACCUGGCAUCUACAGGGGGAUAACUGAUGGAAACGUCAGCUAAGACCGCAUAGGUGUAGAGAUCGCAUGAACUCUAUAUGAAAAGUGCUACGGGACUGGUAGAUGAUGGACUUAUGGCGCAUUAGCUUGUUGGUAGGGUAACGGCCUACCAAGGCGACGAUGCGUAGCCGACCUGAGAGGGUGACCGGCCACACUGGGACUGAGACACGGCCCAGACUCCUACGGGAGGCAGCAGUAGGGAAUUUUCGGCAAUGGGGGAAACCCUGACCGAGCAACGCCGCGUGAAGGAAGAAGUAAUUCGUUAUGUAAACUUCCGUCAUAGAGGA